CUUAUGCGGGGAAGAAAUAGACAUCACAAUCAUUGCCCAGAACUUCCUCAAGCCCCCGCUCUUCAACUACACCGUGAACGUGCACGGCGAACCACAGAGUGAGCUGAUCUACUUCCUGCAGAGGGCGGCAGACAUCGAUAAACAUCUCAGAUUUACAAUCACUUACUUCGGUCCUGUCUUGGGCUACUUUGUCAACUCAAUCAACAAUCUGGAGGGAGAUUAUGCUGAAAACACGUCCUGGCGGGUGACGGAUGUUGACUUCAACUCCCAUAAAUUGGGCGUCAGCCACCACAUCCCAAACCACCAUGACACCAUCAUCUUCUCCUUUACCAACGAGACGUACACUUCAGAAGAAGCGAACAUAUCCGGCAAAGACUGAAUAAACUGACUCAAAAUCUGAAAA